rnacentral:tRNA from 1 species
GGGAUAUUAGCUCAGCCGGUAGAGCACAUGACUUUUAAUCAUGGUGUCCCGGGUUCGAAUCCCGGAUGUCUCA